rnacentral:rRNA from 1 species
AAUUUUGGACAAUGGGGGAAACCCUGAUCCAGCCAUCCCGCGUGUGCGAUGAAGGCCUUCGGGUUGUAAACUGCUUUUAUCAGGGAAUAAACCCUUCUACGUGUAGGAGGCUGAAUGUACCUGAAGAAUAAGGAUCGGCUAACUCCGUGCCAGCAGCCGCGGUAAUACGGAGGAUCCAAGCGUUAUCCGGAUUUAUUGGGUUUAAAGGGUGCGUAGGCGGCCUAUCAAGUCAGAGGUGAAAGACGGUAGCUUAACUAUCGCAGUGCCUUUGAAACUGGUGGGCUUGAAUGUACUUGAGGUAGGCGGAAUGUGACAAGUAGCGGUGAAAUGCAUAGAUAUGUCACAGAACACCGAUUGCGAAGGCAGCUUACUAAAGUAUGAUUGACGCUGAGGCACGAAAGCGUGGGAUCAAACAGG